rnacentral:tRNA from 1 species
GGAGAAUAGCUCAGCUGGGAGAGCAUCUGCCUUACAAGCAGAGGGUCGGCGGUUCGAACCCGUCAUCUCCACCA